UAAAAAUGUAAGGAUUAGCAAUUGUAAGUCACCAUUGAUUACGGUUCCAAAAGGGUGGAAUUCUUCGUGUAGGCGCCCGUCAUCCACAUUGCAGUCAAGGUUCCUCAGAAGUAGUUUUACUGUCUGCAGAACAGGCUUGGGCGUUAUCUAUUGUGACGGCGGAGGAUACACCGGAGCAUGCACCGCCGCCUGGCGCAGCCAAAAUACCGCUCCUCGCCCCCGAAAGGCUAUAAAAACCCAGAAGGAAUAGGUGGAGGUACAGCACCAUGGACAGCGCCGCUGACAAAGCGCUAAAACGGAUUCAGCGCCGCUGUAUCAGCGUGCAAUAGGGAUAUACUGUAGCUGCUUUUAUUUCUUUGGGAGUGGGUUCCUUUUUCCCUUGUGUGUUUUUUGGUAGAGAGUCAUAAGUCCCACUGUAUUUUUCUUUUCUUUCACUAUUAGACUCUAAAGAGACGCCAUGUACAGUUGUUUGUACAGUAUAUAUUAUUUAUUCCCUGUCUGAAAAUAUACCAAUACCUUUUCCUAGAAAUUACCUUUCUGUUUUUUUGGUCUUUCACUCAAUUUUUAAAGGUAGCAAGUCACUGAAUCCUGAGCUAUAACUCUGUUCAGCUCAACCCUAGACUGGGUUGUAAAGAAAACUACUGCUGACAUAUAUAAUGUUAUCAUUGUUCAACUGUUCAGUUCAGCUGAUCAGGAGAAGCUUUUGUAUGGAUAUAGUGUCCAUAUUCUACAUGUCCCCUAAAUGUUCACUUUUAUUCUUCAGUGUGUGAUUUGACUGCUGUGUUUUUAUUUUUUUUUUAUUGUGCCUUUAAGAGUGAUAUAUGUUUAAUUUUCUCUGUUCCAUUUGCUUCCCUGUAUUGUGCUUCAUUAAAAAAAUAUUCGCCAAAAAAACGGA